rnacentral:rRNA from 1 species
CCUACGGGAUGCAGCAGUGGGGAAUAUUGCACAAUGGGCGCAAGCCUGAUGCAGCCAUGCCGCGUGUGUGAAGAAGGCCUUCGGGUUGUAAAGCACUUUCAGCGGGGAGGAAGGCGGUGAGAUUAAUACUCUCACCGAUUGACGUUACCCGCAGAAGAAGCACCGGCUAACUCCGUGCCAGCAGCCGCGGUAAUACGGAGGGUGCAAGCGUUAAUCGGAAUGACUGGGCGUAAAGCGCACGCAGGCGGUUUGUUAAGUCAGAUGUGAAAUCCCCGAGCUUAACUUGGGAACUGCAUUUGAAACUGGCAAGCUAGAGUCUUGUAGAGGGGGGUAGAAUUCCAGGUGUAGCGGUGAAAUGCGUAGAGAUCUGGAGGAAUACCGGUGGCGAAGGCGGCCCCCUGGACAAAGACUGACGCUCAGGUGCGAAAGCGUGGGGAGCAAACAGGAUUAGAUACCCUCGUAGUC